AUCAUUACAGAGUUGCAAAACUCCCUAAACCAUUGUGAACGUUACCUAUACCGUUGCUUCGGCGGGCGGCCCCGGGGUUUACCCCCCGGGCGCCCCUGGGCCCCACCGCGGGCGCCCGCCGGAGGUCACCAAACUCUUGAUAAUUUAUGGCCUCUCUGAGUCUUCUGUACUGAAUAAGUCAAAACUUUCAACAACGGAUCUCUUGGUUCUGGCAUCGAUGAAGAACGCAGCGAAAUGCGAUAAGUAAUGUGAAUUGCAGAAUUCAGUGAAUCAUCGAAUCUUUGAACGCACAUUGCGCCCGCCAGCAUUCUGGCGGGCAUGCCUGUUCGAGCGUCAUUUCAACCAUCAAGCCCCCGGGCUUGUGUUGGGGACCUACGGCUGCCGCAGGCCCUGAAAAGCAGUGGCGGGCUCGCUGUCGCACCGAGCGUAGUAGCAUACAUCUCGCUCUGGUCGCGCCGCGGGUUCCGGCCGUUAAACCACCUUUUUAACCCAAGGUUGACCUCGGAUCAGGUAGGAAGACCCGCUGAACUUAAGCAUAUCAAUAAGCGGAGGA
rnacentral:rRNA from 1 species